rnacentral:rRNA from 1 species
UACAGAGGGGGCGAGCGUUGUUCGGAAUUACUGGGCGUAAAGGGCGCGUAGGCGGCCAACUAAGUCAGACGUGAAAUCCCUCGGCUCAACCGGGGAACUGCGUCUGAUACUGGAUGGCUUGAAUUCGGGAGAGGGAUGCGGAAUUCCGAGGUGUAGCGGUGAAAUGCGUAGAUAUCUGGAGGAACACCGGUGGCGAAGGCGGCAUCCUGGACCGAGAUUGACGCUGACUGCGCGAAAGCCAGGGGAGCAAAGCGGG